GGGCAAGGGAAACGCUCAGCGAGGCGGUAGCGAGCAGGUUCGCAGCUGGUUUUGUCACCAGCAGCUCCUCGGCAGGCCCAGGGCUCGGCAGGGAGACGAGAGAAAAGUUCUCCGAUAGGAAAACGUCCCAGAUCUGAGCCGCAGGCGCCGUCUCUAUGGCCGGCCGGAAGUGACGUCAGCGCGCAAGCAGCGGCGGCAGCGGCCUGAGGCGGGAGCGGCGGCGGGGAGGUGAGGGGGGGG
rnacentral:lncRNA from 1 species